rnacentral:lncRNA from 1 species
AUGGGGUUCUAUGGGGUUUUAAGGGGUUAUUAUGGGAUUCUAUGGGGUUCUAUGGGAUUUAUGGGGUUCUAUGGGGUUAUUAUGGGAUGUAUGGGGUUCUAUGGGGUUUAUGGGGUUCUAUGGGGUUAUUAUGGGAUGUGUGGGGUUUUAUGGGGUUAUUAUGGGAUGUGUGGGGUUCUAUAGGGUUCUGUGGGGUUCUAUGGGAUUUAUGGGGUUUUGUGGGGUUCUAUGGGAUUUAUGGGAUUUAUGGGGUUAUUAUGGGAUGUGUGGGGUUCUAUAGGGUUAUUAUGGGAUUUAUGGGGUUCUAUGGGAUUUAUGGGGUUCUAUGGGGUUUGUAUGGGAUUUAUGGGUUCUAUGGGAUUCUAUGGGAUGUAUGGGAUUUAUGGGGUUCUAUGGGGUUCUGUGGGGUUCUAUGGGAUUUAUGGGGUUCUAUGGGGUUAUUAUGGGAUUUAUGGGGUUAUUAUGGGGUUUUAUGGGGUUCUAUGGGAUUUAUGGGGUUCUAUGGGGUUCUAUGGGGUUAUUAUGGGAUGUAUGGGGUUUUACGGGGUUCUAUGGGGCUAUUAUGGGAUGUGUGGGGUUUCAUGGGGUUAUUAUGGGAUGUGUGGGGUUCUAUGGGGUUCUAUGGGGUUAUUAAGGCUUGUAUGCGGUUAUUAUAGGAUCUGUGGGGUUUUAUGGGGUUUUAUGGGGUUUUAUGGGGUUGUUAUGGGGUGUGUGGGGUUCUACGAAGUUAUAUGGGAUUAUUAUAGGGUGUAGGGGGUUCUAUGGGAUGUAUGGGUUGUAUGGGUUAUUAUGGGGUUCUAUGGGUUCUAUGGGGUUCUAUGGGAUUCUAUGGGUUCUAUGGGGUUAUGGGGUUCUAUGGGGUUCUAUGGGGUUAUGGGGUUCUAUGGGGUUCUAUGGGUUCAAUGGGAUUAUAUGGGUUCUAUGGGUUCUAUGGGGUUCUAUGGGGUUAUGGGGUCAUAUGGGGUUCUAUGGGGUUCUAUGGGGUUAUAGGGUUCUAUGGGGUUCUAUGGGUUCAAUGGGGUCAUAUGGGGUUGUACAGGGUUCUAUGGGGUUAUUAUGGGAUUCUAUGGGGUUUAUGGGGUUUAUGGGGUUCUAUGGGGUUAU